rnacentral:antisense_RNA from 1 species
AGAUCCUCCUCUAGCGCAUCUUGAGCCAGAGCCAUCAUAAGUCACUUUUGAUGCCAUCUUUGCUCCACUUUCUCUGUUCCCCGACCGUUCUCUAUUCCUUGAUCGUUCUCUGUUCCUUGAUCGUUCUCUAUUCUUUGAUCGUUCUCUGUGUGAUGAUUGUCCUCCAUGUCCUCCAUGUCCUCCAUGUCCUCCAGUAAAGUGACUGCUACGAUUAUCAUUGAGAGAAAUUUUUAGUGAAGCAAGUUGUUCCUCUAGAUUACUAGCUUUUCUACUUUCAUAAUCUCCAUCUCGAC